rnacentral:lncRNA from 1 species
UAUUAUAAGUAAGUGAUGAAUAAGUGUGUAGGUGAGUGUCUCACCACAAAAUUAAAAAAAAAAAGACAAAAAGGAAGACGAAAAGUUGAAGUUUUGAAAAAAAAAUGAAAAAAAGGAGAAAAAAAGAGAAAAAAUCUUCCUAAAAAUAGAACAAGAAAUAAAUUUGUUUUGGAAAUCAAGUGUCAUUACUCUUUCUAUAGCAACUCAUAAAUAAAACAUUCCUACCUUUGGCUUGGUCUCG